UACGUAGGGGGCAAGCGUUGUCCGGAUUUAUUGGGCGUAAAGCGCUCGCAGGUGGUUCGUCGCGUCGUGCGUGAAAGACCCCGGCUCAACUGGGGAGCGUCGUGCGAUACGGGCGGACUGGAGGCCAGUAGGGGGAUGCGGAAUUCCGGGUGUAGUGGUGGAAUGCGUAGAGAUCCGGAGGAACACCUGUGGCGAAGGCGGCUACCUGGACAGUGACUGACGCUGAGGCGCGAAAGCUAGGGGAGCGAACGGG
rnacentral:rRNA from 1 species